AUGAUUCCAUUUCUCACUGAUUCAUGAAAACAACUAAAAUGCUGUAUUAUUCAGGCCUGGCCAGUAGUUGGCGAUGUCACUUUGUGAAGAAACACUAUGCAUGCUCAUGACAUGUCAAAUUUGCAUUUUGUAGUUUACAAGGAUAAACAUUCACAAGGAUUUUAAAAACGUGCACCUUGAAACCCCUUCUCAAACAUUUGUUUUCAGGCUCCCAAAUCGCUGUUUUUGUGUAAACGAGUAGUUGGCCAAAAAUAGUAAUGAGUGCAAGGUUUCUCACCGACGUCGGAUCGCAUCAUUUCCACAAUGGCGAAGUACACGGAGCUCCGAUACGUUUUGCACGUGCAGCCCACUGGAUAUCUGCUGCAAACAGAGCUUUAUCAUGCUGUGGCGUGCUACGAGCUUUCUUGUUUUCAUGGGAAUUUUAUUUCUCAGGGUUGGGGAACUUGAGGUGCAGGAAUGUAACAGCGGGCAGUGCGCCGUGGUCUCUCUCCUCUCCUCCACAGUGGUGGGUUGGGGAUUGUGCUUUGGCAACGGGAUACUCUGGUAUGGCCAUGAAACAUGUACAUAAGUUCAAAACAGAGCCGUAACUAAGGAGGUCCGUAAAUAUCCUCUAGCUGUGAGACUGUGGGGUUGCCAUGACUCUGUUGCUGCGGGACACGCUCCUAACUGGACUCGCUGUCUCAGUCUGUCGCGUCUGCAUCUGGUGUGUUAAGUCUUCUGCCAGCUUCAGGCUAUAGCGGGACAGGACUCACUUUAAGUGUCACCAAAAUGUUGAGUGAGGAUCUGUUGCUAUGAGCCCAGUGAUUAUGAAACCCUUCCAUAGACUGAUGAGUGAUAUUUUAUAUUAGAUCAGCAAACUUUAAGAGCUAUAUAUACACACACACGGGCACACACACACACAUUAUAUAAAAUUAAGACAUAUGUCAUAUGUCAAAUCUUACAAUCUUAUUCUGUUCUUCGUGGUGACAGCAGCUGUGUUUAGAUGGACUCUUAUAAUCCAUUUGUAAUUGGACUAGUAACCCAGUCUGAAUAAAGAAAUCAAAAACGUUGUCGGAAUACUGUUU
ensembl:lncRNA